GACAGAGGGUGCAAACGUUGUUCGGAAUUACUGGGCGUAAAGCGCGUGUAGGCUGCUCAGAAAGUCGGAUGUGAAAGCCCUGGGCUUAACCUAGGAAGUGCAUUCGAAACUUCUGAGCUUGAGUUCUGGAGAGGGAAGGCGGAAUUCGUCGGUGUAGAGGUGAAAUUCGUAGAUAUCGAGAGGAACACCGGUGGCGAAGGCGGACCGUUCUGGACGAGUGACUGACGCUGAGACGCGAAAGCGUGGGGAGCAAACAGG
rnacentral:rRNA from 1 species